rnacentral:rRNA from 1 species
UACAGAGACUGCAAGCGUUAUUCGGAUUCACUGGGCGUAAAGGGUGCGCAGGCGGCCGUGUGUGUGAGGCGUGAAAGCCUGGAGCUUAACUCCAGAAUUGCACCUCAAACUACACGGCUAGAGCAUUGGAGAGGGUAGCAGAAUUCACGGUGUAGCAGUGAAAUGCGUAGAUAUCGUGAGGAAUACCAGAGGCGAAGGCGGCUACCUGGACAAUUGCUGACGCUCAGGCACGAAAGCGUGGGGAGCAAAACGG